rnacentral:rRNA from 1 species
UACGAAGGGGGCUAGCGUUGCUCGGAAUUACUGGGCGUAAAGGGCGCGUAGGCGGAUAGUUCAGUUGGGGGUGAAAUCCCGGGGCUCAACCCCGUGACUGCAUCCGAUACUGUCAGGCUAGAGGUAGGUAGGGGAGAUCGGAAUUCCUGGUGUAGCGGUGAAAUGCGCAGAUAUCAGGAGGAACACCGGUGGCGAAGGCGGAUCUCUGGGCCUUACCUGACGCUCAGGCGCGAAAGCUAGGGGAGCGAACAGG